UACGGGAGGCAGCAGUGGGGAAUUUUGGACAAUGGGCGAAAGCCUGAUCCAGCAAUGCCGCGUGCAGGAUGAAGGCCUUCGGGUUGUAAACUGCUUUUGUACGGAACGAAAAAGCUCCUUCUAAUACAGGGGGCCCAUGACGGUACCGUAAGAAUAAGCACCGGCUAACUACGUGCCAGCAGCCGCGGUAAUACGUAGGGUGCGAGCGUUAAUCGGAAUUACUGGGCGUAAAGCGUGCGCAGGCGGUUAUGUAAGACAGAUGUGAAAUCCCCGGGCUCAACCUGGGAACUGCAUUUGUGACUGCAUGGCUAGAGUACGGUAGAGGGGGAUGGAAUUCCGCGUGUAGCAGUGAAAUGCGUAGAUAUGCGGAGGAACACCGAUGGCGAAGGCAAUCCCCUGGACCUGUACUGACGCUCAUGCACGAAAGCGUGGGGAGCAAACAGGAUUAGAUACCCUGGUAGUCCACGCCCUAAACGAUGUCAACUGGUUGUUGGGAAUUAGUUUUCUCAGUAACGAAGCUAACGCGUGAAGUUGACCGCCUGGGGAGUACGGCCGCAAGGUUGAAACUCAA
rnacentral:rRNA from 1 species